CAACGAAGUUUACACUUCGCAUCCCUCCCUUCAACUUCGCUUCUCUUUUCUAGGGUUUUCACUAGGGUUUCUGUCAUACCAUCUCACCUCAUGGGCAACAACAAGAAAGAACAGCUAAAUAUGUCCGAUCUCGGCGCCUCCCUACCGGCUGCCGCCGCCGCUCUUAGCGCGGAGGAUCGUGCUGGGCUUGUGAACGCUCUGAAGAAUAAGCUUCAAAAUCUGGCGGGACAACACUCGGAUAUUCUCGAGAGUUUGACUCCACCAGUUCGAAAGAGAGUUGAAGUUUUGAGAGAGAUCCAGAGCGAGCAUGAUGAACUGGAGGCGAAGUUUUUUGAAGAGAGAGCAGCAUUGGAAUUGAAAUACCAGAAGCUGUACGAGCCACUGUAUUCAAAGAGAUAUGACAUAGUGAAUGGUGUUGUUGAAGUUGGAGAGAAGGAUGAAGCUGCAACAGACCAGACAGAUGGUGAUGCUAAAGAAGAAAAGGGUGUCCCUGAUUUUUGGCUAACUGCAAUGAAGACCCAUGAAAUAUUGGCAGAGGAGAUCUCUGAACGAGAUGAAGAUGCUCUCAAAUAUUUGAAGGAUAUCAAGUGGUGUCGGAUUGAUGACCCUAAGGGUUUUAAGCUCGAGUUCUUUUUUGAUACCAAUCCAUAUUUUAAAAACACAGUUUUGACCAAAGUAUAUCAUAUGAUCGAUGAUGAUGAGCCUAUUUUAGAGAAGGCAAUAGGCACAACCAUUGAAUGGUUACCAGGGAAAUGCUUGACACAAAAGAUCUUAAAGAAGAAGCCAAAGAAGGGAUCGAAGAAUGCUAAACCUAUCACAAAGACCGAGAAUUGUGAAAGUUUCUUCAACUUCUUUAACCCUCCACAGGUUCCUGAGGAUGAGGAUGAUAUCGACGAAGAGGAGUAUGAGGCUAUAAUUGGCAGGCUGAAGAACUUCAGAAUCAAAUGGAGCAAGACUAUGACGUUGGGUCAACCAUACGCGACAAGAUUAUCCCACAUGCUGUUUCAUGGUUUACAGGUGAGGCUGUUCAGGAGGAUGAGUUUGAUGGUAUAGAAGAAGAUGAUGAUGAUGAGGAUGAUGAUGAUGAUGAAGAAAUUGAUGAUGAUGAAGACGAAGAAGAUGAUGAGGAUGACGAUGAGGAUGAUGAAGAUGAAGAGGAGGAGGAGAGCAAGAGCAAGAAGAAAACAAAGCCUUCUGCACGGAAGAAGGGUAGCAUCCUACAUGCAGCAGGUGGUGCUGGAGAACAGGGUGAGAGACCUCCUGAAUGCAAGCAACAAUAGCUUUUUAAGGCUGCAAGAGGUGUGAUUUGGUGUUCGUUGUCGAGGGUUUUGAAGUCUUGGUUUUUUUUCCUUGAGAAAUUUGGCCCGUUUUUGUGUUGGAUUCUUUGUGUAUCGGAGUUCUAUUUAUCUGUCAAAAUGUCCAGUUUUUGUUUAUUUAUAUAUGUUAGGUUACAAUCUUGAUUUGUGAAAAGGUACAAUUGAAAUAUGUACGUUUUCUCCCAUUUUCCCGGGUAUGUUUUUGAAGUGGUAAACGUUAUAUGUUCGAUGUCUUGCAUGAAUUCGUGCUUUUAUUC